rnacentral:rRNA from 1 species
CCUACGGGCGGCAGCAGUGAGGAAUAUUGGUCAAUGGACGAGAGUCUGAACCAGCCAAGUAGCGUGAAGGAUGACUGCCCUAUGGGUUGUAAACUUCUUUUAUAUGGGAAUAAAAUGUUCCACGUGUGGGAUUUUGUAUGUACCAUAUGAAUAAGGAUCGGCUAACUCCGUGCCAGCAGCCGCGGUAAUACGGAGGAUCCGAGCGUUAUCCGGAUUUAUUGGGUUUAAAGGGAGCGUAGGUGGAUGGUUAAGUCAGUUGUGAAAGUUUGGGGCUCAACCGUAAAAUUGCAGUUGAAACUGGCAGUCUGGAGUACAGUAGAGGUGGGCGGAAUUCGUGGUGUAGCGGUGAAAUGCUUAGAGAUCACGAAGAACUCCGAUUGCGAAGGCAGCUCACUGGACUGCAACUGACACUGAGGCUCGAAAGUGUGGGUAUCAAACAGGAUUAGAUACCCCUGUAGUC